CUGGAGGUAUCAGAAGUGCGAAUGCUGACAUAAGUAACGAUAAAGCGGGUGAAAAGCCCGCUCGCCGGAAGACCAAGGGUUCCUGUCCAACGUUAAUCGGGGCAGGGUGAGUCGACCCCUAAGGCGAGGCCGAAAGGCGUAGUCGAUGGGAAACAGGUUAAUAUUCCUGUACUUGGUGUUACUGCGAAGGGGGGACGGAGAAGGCUAUGUUGGCCGGGCGACGGUUGUCCCGGUUUAAGCGUGUAGGCUGGUUUUCCAGGCAAAUCCGGAAAAUCAAGGCUGAGGCGUGAUGACGAGGCACUACGGUGCUGAAGCAACAAAUGCCCUGCUUCCAGGAAAAGCCUCUAAGCAUCAGGUAACAUCAAAUCGUACCCCAAACCGACACAGGUGGUCAGGUAGAGAAUACCAAGGCGCUUGAGAGAACUCGGGUGAAGGAACUAGGCAAAAUGGUGCCGUAACUUCGGGAGAAGGCACGCUGAUAUGUAGGUGAAGUCCCUUGCGGAUGGAGCUGAA
rnacentral:rRNA from 1 species